rnacentral:rRNA from 1 species
AGUGAACGCUGGCGGUAGGCCUAACACAUGCAAGUCGAACGGCAGCACAGUAAGAGCUUGCUCUUACGGGUGGCGAGUGGCGGACGGGUGAGGAAUACAUCUGAAUCUACUUUUUCGUGGGGGAUAACGUAGGGAAACUUACGCUAAUACCGCAUACGACCUACGGGUGAAAGCAGGGGAUCUUCGGACCUUGCGCGAUUGAAUGAGCCGAUGUCGGAUUAGCUAGUUGGCGGGGUAAAGGCCCACCAAGGCGACGAUCCGUAGCUGGUCUGAGAGGAUGAUCAGCCACACUGGAACUGAGACACGGUCCAGACUCCUACGGGAGGCAGCAGUGGGGAAUAUUGGACAAUGGGCGCAAGCCUGAUCCAGCCAUACCGCGUGGGUGAAGAAGGCCUUCGGGUUGUAAAGCCCUUUUGUUGGGAAAGAAAAGCAGCAGGUUAAUACCCCGCUGUUCUGGCGGUACCCAAAGAAUAAGCACCGGCUAACUUCGUG